AUUGUACUCCUUCCAUCCUGAAUUACUUGUUGCAGACAUGGAUGUAUCUAGAUGUAUUUUUAGUUCUAGAUACAUCCAUUUAUGUGACAAGUAAUUCGGGACGAAGGUAGUAACAA
rnacentral:pre_miRNA from 1 species